rnacentral:rRNA from 1 species
CCUACGGGAGGCAGCAGUGAGGAAUAUUGCUCAAUGGGCGCGAGCCUGAACCAGCCAAGUAGCGUGAAGGAUGACUGCCCUCCGGGUUGUAAACUUCUUUUAUAAAGGAAUAAAGUGUAGCAUGUGUGCCUUUUUGUAUGUACUUUAUGCAUAAGAGUCGCCUAACUCCGUGCCAGCAGCCGCGGUAAUACGGAGGGUCCGAGCGUUAUCCGGAUUUAUUGGGUUUAACGUGAGCGUAGGUGGGUUGUUAAGUCAGUUGUGAAAGUUUGCGGCUCAACCGUAAAAUUGCACUUGAUACUGGCAGUCUUGAGUACAGUAGAGGUAGGCGGAAUUCGUGGUGUAGCGGUGAAAUGCUUAGAUAUCACGAAGAACUCCGAUGGCGAAGGCAGCUUACUAAAC